AACGAACGCUGGCGGCAGGCCUAACACAUGCAAGUCGAGCGAAGCCUUCGGGCUUAGCGGCGGACGGGUGAGUAACGCGUGGGAACGUGCCCUUUGCUACGGAAUAGCUCCGGGAAACUGGGAGUAAUACCGUAUGUGCCCUUCGGGGGAAAGAUUUAUCGGCAAAGGAUCGGCCCGCGUUGGAUUAGGUAGUUGGUGGGGUAAUGGCCUACCAAGCCGACGAUCCAUAGCUGGUUUGGGAGGAUGAUCAUCCACACUGGGACUGAGACACGGCCCAUACUCCUACGGUAGGCAGCAGUGGGGAAUCUUAGACAAUGGGGGAAACCCUGAUCUAGCCAUGCCGCGUGAUCGAUGAAGGCCUUAGGGUUGUAAAGAUCUUUCAGUGGGGAAGAUAAUGACUGUACCCACAGAAGAAGCCCCGGCUAACUCCGUGCCAGCCGCCGCCGUAAAAC
rnacentral:rRNA from 1 species